rnacentral:lncRNA from 1 species
UUCGUUGGUCAUCAGGUUAUGAGUGUACGCUUGUUACUGACCUUUUUAUGUGUUCUCACGUGAUAAUGAGUUGAGAUUCUAGAAGAAACUGAAAUAAAAUGUAGACAAUGAAGCGGAUGGUGCUUGGCAUGUGUCCCAUUAGAAAUCAUGAAAAAUUGACAGGAAAGUUUGUUGCUGAAAAUCAUGCACAUCACAUGAAUAGACCAUGGCUGGAAAGGUAGAAACCAUUCAACCAUGUCGGCUGCAAGGUACAUCUGCUUAUCUAGGGAGUUCAACUGCAUGCUUUGGCUUGGAAAUCGGGAUACCAAUCAAUUUGAGCUUAGUGCCUGCAGCAAUAGCGUAUGAUGUAUCCCUUCAUUCUCUUAUUGCAUUAUGGUGAUGCUCGUUAACUCUACAUGAAAUAGACACCAUUCAGCAGCAUCACACCUUCUGAGCUGCUAAGUUAACUAAAGUUUCGACUAUCACUCUGCCUCUAUAUAUAUAAUUGAGACCAUUUUAGUUGUUUGUGUUCCUUCGGUUGUGUGACCUUUGAUGUGUCUGUUUGCUAGUGAGGUGAGACUUUAGAAGAAACUGAAAAGGAGAUGUCAGUUGUUCGAACAUGGCAAAUUUGGUGGCUUCAACCAGCUUCCCCACAGGCCAGCAAGGUUCGGAUGUAAGACCGAAGUUCGGAGGUGUCGCUGGGGAGGACCGGGAUGCUCCCUGAGGAAAAUUAAAAAGAGGAGAGACAGAGAGGAAGCACAGGGGAAAAGGAGGAACCAGAUGACCGUGGUUAAAAAGGGAAGAAAAAAAGGAUGUAGCCUCCUCCAUUCCUGUUUGAUUGUCUAGAUGGGUGGGUUGUGUGUUCUGGUUGCUCAAUUUUGAUUUUACCUAUCAUGAAUAAAUGAUUCUGUUCAGUUACAAAUUCCCAAAUGCGCUUGUGAUAAUUCCAUGUACCGUACCAAAGCCUGCCAACGGUUUUGGCAGGUUUUUCCUACUCGUUGUUUCGCAAGUUCGGUUGCAAAUCAGCACUUGUGCGGACAUAAAUGAAGUUUCUUAGUAGUGAAAAGAAAAAGGCAAUUUGCAGGAGGACAGACAAUCGACAAUAGACAAUAAGACUAGACAUCCUUAAUACAAUAAAAAUUUGCGUGGUAAUCGCAUAAUGAUACAUACAAAAGAAAAGAACUUGAAUAAUUUAACUUCGAGCAGGUAAUGAACAACAAGGGGCACACAGAACAUCUCUCACACGACCCAUCAACUUCCAGAAUAACAUCAGUUGAUUGAUGGUCAUAAAAUAGUAAGACAGAAAAGAACUAAGACGAGGACUGCACAUUACGAAGGCAAAUUCAGUUCUUCUACUAAUUUACAUCCAUGUUCGUGAGUGUUGUCUCUAAUUUACACUGAUGAAAACUCCGCAGCUCUUCCAGAAAGUGGUUUGCAAGAUCAUAUACAGGGUAACCAAACUAUCACCCGAAAACAAAUAUGUUGUUCAGUUCGCAAGGCUCUACAUGCAGAGGAAAUCACAGUUAAUUUGAGACCUGGAAGCUCCUUGUAGGGUUCUUCUUUUGCCUAACUUCUAUAGAAUAUGACCGGAAUUACUUUAGUACUUCAAAAGAAGGACUUCAAGAAGCAAUAAUUCAUCUUCUUUAUCAGUUCAAUCGAAAUAAAUAGUAAGAAAACUAAAAAAUUAGAAAAAAAAUUUGCAUGCAAGAUGCUCGAGUGCAUCAGGUGCGUGCAAAAAAUAGUGGGCAAAAGACAAUGGAGAAGCUCACGUCAAAAAAGAAAAAAUGAGGCAUGAACAGUUGGUUUGUAAAAGAGUGAAUAACAAAGCCAUGUCUAGCUUCGUCCUCUCUAUUAUGAGUUCAGGAAGAAAAAAUAUGAUGCAACUUCCACUCCCACCAAAAGUGAGCGGAGAUAUUAGUUUGAACUGAAAUGAUUAGUUUUUUAUUUGUUUUUAGAAAAGGAAGGUUUCCUCCGGCCUUUGCAUCAAAACGAUGCAUGCAGCCACUUUAUUUAUAAAAUCAAAGUAAAGUCCAAAGGUUUCGAACAAGUUCCAAAGAGGCAACAAAAAAAAUAAAAAGUAGUACAAAAAUAUGCCACAACUCGCAAACAUAGGCCUAGAUGCCUAACCAUCUAUCCUAUUACUGGACCGUCAUCCAAACCGGUUAUAGAUAUCCCGAGCUACCAUCUUCCACCGGAUAGACCUAGUAACCAAAGGCUCCCUGGUUUCCGCAGGAGUGAGUAAUGACCAUGUACGGAUCAACGCCGAUGCCCUGUAGAGUACCUGCAAGAAAUUAAUAUUUGAUAGACAUCAUUCCUGCAGUUCCAUAUAGCCCAAAUUAAUGCACAUAAUCCUAUACGAAUAUGUCUAGCAAUAAUUAAGUCAACCCCAUUUAGCCACGUCCCAAACAACGUAUCAAUGCUAUCCGACGGUGUAAUAUUGAAUGCUAUACGGACUGUUUGCCAUAGGAUUUUUGCUAGUGGGCAUUGGAGAAAAAGAUGUUUGAUAGUCUCAUCAUGGUCACACAAGGAACAUCUUUUACUUCCCUCCCAGUUUCUCUUCUUUGCCAAAUUAUCUUUGGUAAGGAUCACCUUCUUGGGGACAAACCAUAUGAAGACUUUGAUACACAAAGGCACUUUCACCUUCCAGAUAUGAUUGGACUUGGGAAUUGUUGUUGUAUCAAUGAGGCUCAAGUACAUCGACUUGACAGUAAAGAUGCCAGUAGACGUUAGCUUUCACUGAAGCCUAUCGGCCUCCUCUGAUAGCUGUACAUCCAUGAAUCUUGUGACUAAGUGCAACCAUGCCUCCCAUCUAUGUCCAAUUAUAGCUCUCCGGAAUUGAAUAUUUAGAGGGUUGGAUUGUAGUAUUGUGGCAACAUAUGCCUCCUUACUUUGAACAAUAUUAUAGAGCGAUGUAUAUUGUAUGGCUAGAGGCGUCUCCCCCAGCCACGUAUCCUUCCAGAAUCUCGUAGACUUAUCAUCUCCAAUGAUAAAUUUAGCUUUGUGGAAAAUGGUCGCUUUCAUUUUCAUCAAGCCUUUACAGAAAGGAGAACAUUGGGCCUCACUGUUACGUGAGCCAAGGUUUUAGAUUGUACUUACUUAUUACGCAGAAUUCGUACCCACAUGCCCUCCAUCUCCACAGAUAGUCUGAACAGCCAUUUUCUCAACGGACAUCUGUUUUUUACCUCCAAAUUUUCAAUUCCCAAACCUCCUUGGUCCUUAGGUCUACAAAUAAUAUCCCAUCUAGCAAGCCGGUAUUUCUGCUUAACUUCAUCGCUUUGCCAGAAAAAUCGGGAUCUACAAAAGUCCAGUCUUUUCCAUACCCCGACCGGUACCUCAAAGAAGGACAGAAGGACAAUCGGCAUGCUUGUGAGAAUUGAGUUAAUCAGUAUGAGCCUUCCUCCGUAUGACAAUAACUUAUCCUUCUAACAGCUUAGUUUUCUCAAAAAGGUCCUCAACACAUUUCCAUUCUUUGUUUGAUAACUUACGAUGUAGUGUGUCUAACUCCGAAGUGCUCAGUGCAUCCACCGAACCAAAAUAAAUAAAAGUGGAACCAUGUCCGAUAUUCUUUUUUUGUAGCUUAGAGGAAAUUAAAUGUGUGAUUUGUUUGUGUAAUUCAAAAUAUCUUUGCUGCUAGGUUGACUGAAGCCUCAAAUAUUGCGCUAUCUCUCGACAUAUAUAUGCACCAUUUGUGUCUGUGCUCCACUAGAAGAAACCAAAAAAUGAGUAGCGAAAACUGACACCCGUCCUGUGUCGCUCGCUGGGGAGGAGCGACUGGCAGAUCCAAUCGGUGCCGCCAAUUCCCCCUUCCCCACCGGAGCCACUGUUGGAACUCCGUCACAGGAUCGAUCACAUCAAAUCACGACAAACACGCACACACAAAAUCUUGUAGCCAAGGGCCCUUGUCGUGCUCUAUUUUUCCCUCUUUAUUUUCUUCUUUUUAUCUCAACUCAAGGUACUAAGACUGAAGCCCCUCGUGCAUAUAUAUAUAUAUNNNNNNNNNNNNNNNNNNNNNNNNNNNNNNNNNNNNNNNNNNNNNNNNNNNNNNNNNNNNNNNNNNNNNNNNNNNNNNNNNNNNNNNNNNNNNNNNNNNNNNNNNNNNNNNNNNNNNNNNNNAUAUAUAUAUAUAUAUGCAAGAGUAGCCGACCCAAGAAAUACCUAGGCCUACACGUACUUGGUCUUGAGUCCAAACCGGACUCAACCUGCACUUUCCUGAUCAAGCUAAUUACACCGACACGUCAAACUCAAACUCUCAACCGAACACAUACAAUAGCCAAUUAUACUAAUCUUAGCUGGACUAAGAUAACUCACGCCAUGCAACCUAAUUAAGUCUAACACAAAUCAAAUCUAAUUCUAGAUUAUUCCUAACAAUCUCUCCCUAAUCUUGACUUGCCAUCUUCUUAGUGUUCCGUCUUGUCUUGACUCGUUGUUGACUCGUGACUUGUCGACACAUCGACUAAACCGUCGUAUCCGUACAUUGAGUAUGACUCGUCUGGAAACAUGUAGAACCUCCUUGCUCUACAGUGUUGUGCCACAGCCAUUGCUUGGCCGCUGCCUUGCACUCGGUCCGCACCAUACUCCUUGUACUUGCUUGCAGUAGAUCCACUCUCCACUGCUUGCACAUCUCCUCGCUUUACGAUGGCAUCGCCUACCAUCGUCCGCCUUCGGCAUCACACCAAAUCCACACUGGCCGCAACCAGGGCGCUCCACGAGGACAUGGAUAUGACUCACGGAACACCGUGCACACUCCUUCAACUCUAACAAAUCAUCAUCAAGACGAGCACUUGGACAUGACGACGCCCAAACAUGCGACUCGCAUGACUCCUUGACUGGUCCAACUCCCCUGGACGACGAUCUUGAUGAGCUCCAGCGCCGCACCUCGGCACCACCUCUUCCAUCAAUGAUCUCCUUCCACCACCUUGCCGACGACAGCCCGCCUCUCCCUCCAUAUCGCUCCGCCGAACAACGAUCUUCUGAACCUCCUCAUCCAUCGCUCCACGAACGACUAUUGCCCGAUCCUUGCCGUCGCUGCAACACUCAUCGACUAUCACCCGCUCCUCCUCGUCGCUACACCAACGACUAUAUUGCCAACUCUUCUCGCCGUUGCACCACCCAACGACUAUAUUGCCCGCCCCGAGGCACUAGUGGGCUUGUCACCCCGGGGCAAGCGCAGCUUCUCCUCGACCUUGCUCUGAUACCAAUUGUUGGAACUCCGUCACAGGAUCGAUCACAUCAAAUCACGACAAACACGCACACACAAAAUCUUGUAGCCAAGGGCCCUUGUCGUGCCCUAUUUUUCCCUCUUUAUUUUCUUCUUUUUAUCUCAACUCAAGGUACUAAGACUGAAGCCCCUCGUGCAUAUAUAUAUGCAAGAGUAGCCGACCCAAGAAAUACCUAGGCCUACACGUACUUGGUCUUGAGUCCAAACCGAACUCAACCUGCACUUUCCUAAUCAAGCUAAUUACACCGACACGUCAAACUCAAACUCUCAACCGGACACAUACAAUAGCCAAUUAUACUAAUCUUAGCUGGACUAGGAUAACUCACACCAUGCAACAUAAUUAAGUCUAACACAAAUCUCUACCUAAUAAUAAAGCAAAUACUGUUUCUGGUCGUCCGUCCUUAAAUUUGCCCCUAAAGUUCGCUGGAAUUACCCACCUAUGCCGUCGGUAAGUGGAAAAAACGAUUCAUUUUUCCUAUCUUUUAAACUCUAUCGUUACAUUUGAUUCAAUAAGAACAGGCCCCUGAACUAAUCACGUGCGUGCGUUGGUCCAACUGGUUGGGAGCUUGUGUCUUCACCUUGAAGACCAAGGUUUGAUCCCUCACUCUCCCUAUUUUCCAUCCACUUUUGUGUAUUUUUUGCCGGCGGGUGGCUGCCUGCAAAGCACUGUUUUUCUUUGCUUUGUUUUUAUCUUUUGACUUUAUUUAGAUAUAUAGUUUGAAUAUUUUAAUUACAAAAAUCCUGUGUAUGCAAACUAUGAAAAAUUAAUAAUCAUGCAUUAAAGAAAUCCCAAACUUGAAUAGAAAAUAAUAUAUUACAUAAGAAAGUACAGUAUGUAUGAAGAAAUAAUCUAACUUUUAUUUAUUUUUUGAAAAAUAUGGAUCAUGCAAUUAUUUAUUUUAAUGUGCAUAGAAAAUGUUUCUGAUCUAUAAUAAAAAAUGUAUACCAAAAUAUACAAUGUAUAUGGAACAAAGUAGACAUAACAAAUAUAAGUUUUCUAAAAUGUUAAUUAUGUAUUUGGAGAAUGUCAAAUGUGUAUAUAAAAAAUGCUUCUAAUAUAUACAAAAAAUGUAAAAUGUGUAUAAAAAGUAGAUAUCAAAACUAAAAAAGUUUCAAAAAAUGUUAACCAUGAAAUUGGAAAAUAUGAAACGUGUAUAUAGAAAACUUUUUUGAUGUAUAAAAAAAGUACAAUGUUACUAUGCAAGCUUUCCGUAGACCAAUGGCUUAACUUUGAUUUUCAUAUUGUUUGAAAUUGUUUUUUAAUGAUUUUUUUAGAAUUAGGAAAGAUGCCCGUGCAUUGCAACAUAGAACAUUUGGUAUGGAUGUUCUUACAAAUUUAUUGUUUCCGAUGAAGCUGUCUAAUUUGUUUGCAAACAAAUUAAAACUUCACUUGGACUAUAAAUGCAAACAAAUAUAUCAGCAAGACAAAACAAAUACGCUUAUGCAUAUGCUAUCGUGAGUAAAAUAAAACGUACUUUGUUACUUUCAUCCUAAUGCAAAUAUGGGCAUCAGCAAGGAGGACCGACUGCAAAUGUGUAAAGAGAUACAUGCGACUUCAUAGAUAUUUUUAUUAUCAAAUAAACUAGAAAAAUCUUAAGUGCACUUCAAAAAUUAUCACAUUUUUAUAUUUUUAGGCAACACCGGUUAUCAUGUUGUUUCUCAUGUGGCAUUGUGCAAGAUGUCAAGAGACUUACUUAUAUCUCAAGAGCGUGUAUGUGAAAUAAACAAAUUCUUCCGUUGCAACGCACGGGCAUGUUUGCUAUCUAUAUCUAUACCUACUAAUAAAGGAAAUAGGUAUUCUUAGUCCGUCAUGCUAUUUUAUGAAAAAAAACUCUGAUGUUUCUAACAUUAAUCCCGUAAUACAUAUUAAAUAUAUUUUAUCAUACUCACAUCUUCUAAACCGUAACUUCAAAUUUAACAUUUUAUAUAUGGAAUUUGAUUAGAUAAAUAUAUAGAAUUUGAAUAUGAUGUUUUUUUAUCUGUAAACAUUUAAUAAAAACACUAUCUGGGGUGCAAUAUUAAUAAAUAAUUCAUCAUUCGUCUUUCUUUCAUACUGGUACUAAUCUGGAUUGGAGAUGAAACUGAAGGCCACUUGCCCGUUUCUUUGUACAUAUUAAAUCUACAUGCAAGCGUGUUAAAAUAAAAGACCUGUGGAAUCUUGAACUGCACUUGUGUAGAGUAAGAUCAUCUUGGUUUGUGUCGUAACUACAAAUUCUUAGAUUAUAGACCAUUUUUCUAUAAAUUAAAAGCGUGUUGUAUUUUUUCUUUUCCCGUUGCAACGCACGGGCCCUUUUGCUAGUCAAAUCUAAUUCUAGAUUAUUCCUAACAGCCACCCGCUCCGCCGUCGCCGUUGGCGCUUGCUGCGAUGGCGGCGGGCUUGCCUCCUUGGACGCGGCGUUCCCCCCAACGGGUCGUCUCCUCUCUCUCCUAGGUGGCUUGUUCCUCGAGGCGUGAAGAACGGCAUUGUCCGUAUCCUGUUGGUUCUUUGAUGCAGUCCGCUGGUAGCUGCAUCGAGACGUCAAUGGCGCUCAGUGGCAAUAUGCUCAAGGAAGAGUUGGCCUCCUGGUUGUGGCCUACAGCGGUGUUAGCAAUAAACCACGCUUUGUAUGGGUCAUGCAUGUAGUUAGCUGUAGUGGAUGUCCGAGCGUCCGAUGCUGGCCAAGUCUUGCCGUGUAUGGUCAUGGCUGAAGAAGCGGCAGCAAAAGAGAUCAGAUCAUCAUACAUGCAUGGACAGCUGCAGUUCCGUUCGUGCGGAGAGGCAGGUCCAGGUCAUGUGGAUCAUGGGUGAUCAAGUCAGCUAUUAGUGCGUGAGUGCAUGUAGUGGAGCAGGUCGUGUGCAUAAGAGCCGGGCAGGUUGUUGUCUGGCUGUCUGCGUGCGUGUGUGAGGCUAUAUAUAGCCAUGUACGUGUGUGGUGUGUCCACCGAGGUGUGUGUAAUCAGUUGAGUGGAAUAGAAGCCAACAUACAGGCCGUUCGGCGGCCGGGGCGUUCGUCGCCAUAACCAAGUGUUUCUGUUCAUCUUCUUCUACCUCCGUCGGGCGUUUUGUCGCCGGAGGGCUGCCUCGGCGUGUGUCGCGGGAGGGCAGCCCCAACAAGCGGGUCUCGUCAGGGGCUCACGAACGUGGGCUGUCUCCGGAUCGAGCACUAGAUCGAAAACCCCAUCUCCAAGCCAUCUCCCUGGCGCGUAUCUCGGCAAGGGCUGGCCGAGGGAGCCAUGAUCCUCCUCCACGCCAACCUCGAGUCAAGUGGCAUGGGGCAUGUUCGAAAAUCUCGGGCAGUCGUGGUGCAGGCAAGCGUCGGCUGUAUUUCCUCAUCGAUCUGGCCGAUGCCACAAGCUCCGACUCCUCGAUGCAUCCUCCACUCGCCGUUGCAUGCCUGCGUGCCGCUGAGCAAAGCCCUCGCGGUGGCUGCUGGGGCGACGCGUUGGUGUUGGUCUCGACGAUUACCACUAUGCAUGGUUGCACAUCAGCAGGUGGCGGUGGUAAUGCUGGGUCUGUGUGACGCAGAGUAGGCUUUGCCGGAUGCGGCAGUUGGGCCUAUGUGUGGCUUCUCAUCGGGAAGCGUGACAGCCGGCGUGAUUGUGGUGGUCACCCAAAGGUCUUCGUGAGGUUUCUUCCUCUAGAUCCGGUGGUUGACUUUCGACAGGGAGAUGCACACGAUGGACAAUUGUUUGACACGGAGAGAUGGUUGUGCAGCGGGGCGACCGUGCAUCGCAUGUGAGACUGAAGCCAUCGCGGAAAGUGAUGGUGACAACACGUAUGACAUCCAUUAUGGUGCGAAAAAGUGGUGAUGACUACACGUAUGACAUCCAUUGUGGUGCUACUCGAGCACCCGGUCCCGAGCUUCAGGGUGAAAGCCUAGGUCUGGUACGAGUUGGUUAUAUCUGUCAAUGAUGAUAUUUUUAUGUCGUUGCUUUGUUGAAUUCAUUGUUCGGAUAUGCUCAUAUUGAUUCUUCAGGGUGAAAACCUAGUUUCUGGCCUUGGCUUGUUGAAUCCGGUGACGGCGACGCUUGAGCAAUAUACCGUUUCUUAAUGUGUUGCUGCUGAAGAACCAUGGCGUCCAUCUGGUGUCAUGAAAUGGCUGGUGCGGAUAAGACCAUUGUUGUAGUUUGCUGAUUUCUGAUCUGAUCGCUUUGAUUUUUUUCUUUUCCUCGCAUAUGCAUAGCUUUGAUUUUAUAUGAUUUUGCUACUAGGUGACGUGAUUUUUAUGUGUGCAUCUUAGCUAUGUAGAGAUCGGAUAUGUUCUUAAUGUGUUUGUAUACUCUUGAUGCUUCAUUUUGACGCAAUAAAAUCCAACCUUUAUCGAAAAAAGAACAAACCAAAAAUAUAUGUGAAUAGUUGUUCGGAUUACUUGCGCGUCCAGCACGCGCUAGAACAUCUUAACAGGAAAAUGCAGUGCUACAAAUUUGAGCAGGUAUAAAGCAUGAUAUUGGCCCUGAUAUUGUCCAUAUUGUCUCAAGGGAAGACUGCUGGCUGGUCAAAGUGUGCAGAACCAAGCCAUAAUUGUUGUGAUCUGAAUGCAAAAUAAUAAUUCAGUUCCCCCCGCAAAAAAAAAAAGGUCAGUUAGUUAACCCGGAAUUAGUGUUCAAAUUAUGAUUCCUAAAUCCUUUACUUGUGAUGGUCCCUAGCCGCCGCCGAAGCCCGUCGACCAGACGGGUGGCGGUGAAGCCUCUUUUGGUUGGUACCACACGGGCGUGAGGCUAUUUCUAUAUAGACUUGAUUACUUAGGACAGAUCUAAACCUUCGACUAGUUUGAAACAGAGCAUUAGAAAAAACAGUAUGUGAAGCACAAGUAUAACAGCCAAAUGUUAUGCAGUCAUUGUAAUACUAGCAGCGAAGAUGCGCGGUGCACGCCGCGCCCGUCGGAAGGCUUAUUUAUAUUUCGAAUGAGUACUUCAAUUUUUUUAUUGCAUGCAUGUAUUAUUUUUCAUGCUUAGUUGGUUUGAUUUAUUUAUUUUUGUUUGGGUUUUAUAGGAUGGAAAAGAGUUGCAGUUUCGUUUUGGCACGGUUCACUGAUGUAAUAAAGUUGUUUAUAACAUGUUUACAUCCGUCGUGGUUGUCUUUUUGUCUACGGGUGUAGAGAUGCUUGACUUGUUUUUUGUAUAUAGUGAUAAAGACCAUUGCCAGUGGUGUCCAUUUCAUGUUCUUAAUAGAAUGGAAGUGUGUUUUAAGGAUCAUGCGAUUAAAGUUUUGAAAAAAUCAUGAUUUAUUGAUGGCAAAGAGUUAAAUAGUACAGGUGCAAUACAAAACAAAUAAUUCUAAAUACGAUGCAAUAAAUUAAAAAUCAUUUAUAGUCUGUCUAUGGGUAAAUCAUUAGUGGUCCACCUUUUUUUGUCCUUGCGGAAUUUCUUUAACAUGUGAGACCUGGCGAUAUUCAAUAAGAGAAGUGAAUCAGUGUUAUAUUUUUCUGAACUUUAUUGAUUUUUUAUCUCGGUGCCAGGGACUUGUUCAUGCAUGACCUAUGUGUCUUAUAUUUAUAUUUGAUUUUCAUAUCUUCAUAGCACUCAUCUAGGAGUUUUAGUAAGCGGACAAUGUUAGAAUCAGUAGCAUCAGAGGUGUUUUUUGGUACGUGUGAGUAAUGCUGAUAGAGUGAGAUUUCUCUUAUCGUACACAUGGUGAGCGAAGGAUGGUGUGGCUGGCAACGAUCAUAAUAGUUGUAGAGCUUUAAUAGAUAGGUAAUACAAAAAGAAAUAUAAUAAUCGUUAAUGUUAAUAGUAGAAAAACUCAGGUUUUUCCUUUGUAUUUUCCUCGGUUUAUUGCUUACGCGGAUACUAUGUGUUGGUACAAUUUCAGUUUACAGUUUAUGUAUAAAGUUUUUAUUUUUGAUAGAUGUUGGUAUAUUGCAGUUUAUUCAGUGGGCAUUGAAACACUGGUCACAUGAAGCAAUGUUGCAUACGAAGUGACUGUUUUGAAAAUAGUGUUUCGGUUUAUUCGGAUUAUUUGUUCCAGUUUGUUAGUUUUAAUGUUCUCUUAAAAUGAGACCUAACUCAAACCGUUCGAGGAAAAUAAAUCUUGGGACAACAAUCCAUAAGAAUGAAUCUAAGGAAAAAUAAAUUAAGCAGUACCAUUUUAAACAAUAAAAGAAGGUUGGCACCCAAGAUGCAAUCUUUUCUUUGGAUUUUGGCUUCGUGGUAAAAUUGGAGUGGAAAGACGAUCAUUUUAUUAUCAAGGAGCAAUGCCAUUAGGUAAAAUUAAUUAUUACAAAAUAUGUAUAUAGAUCAGGUCAAACUAAGUUAAUAAAUUGGUAUUUAUUCAAUUUUAUUUUUUCUAUGCGUAUUUACCUAAUCCAUUAGAUUUGUGCGUUUUUCACUUUAGGAAUUAUCUGUAAAUAAGUCUAAAAAUAGCAUGAUAUAAUUGUAUUAAAGGAUACCCAUAAACAAUUUACUAAGCAAUAAAAAUAAUAAUGAUAUAGGAGUACCUGUAGUGUAAGAGGGCAAUAAAAUAUACAUAAAGAUCUCCUUUUUAGAAAUGUAAAUACCUAUGAUGAUAUACAAUACGUAAAAAGAAGCCAUUUUUAUGGAUACUGUUCAUAAAUAUAUUAUUUUACAAAAAACAAUAAAUGGCAUUAUUCAUAAAUACUAAUACUUUUCAUAAAAUUCUUUUUAGAAAUGUGAAAACCUAUGUACGUAAAAAAACCAUCUUCUCCUUUUUAAACCCUAUUCACAACCGGGGCUACGGGGUUACUACUCGCUGUUGGCCACGUAAAUAAGCAUUAGAUAAAAAGAUGGGUCACUGUUUAUAUGAGAUUAUUGUUCACAACAAGGGUAACAUCGCGCAUGGUUACUAUUUUUUGCAUUGGAUUACUGUUCGCAACCGGAGGAUACGGGGUUACUAUUCGUUGUUGGACGUAAAUAGAUGUUGGAUAAAAAGACGGGGUCACUGUUCACAACACGGUUAACGUCGUCGUGGUUACUGUUUUCGCUGGAUUACUGUUCACAUCAGGUGACGUGGCCGUGAAAAUAAAUAGUGAAUGUAAAAAAAUCAAAAAACCCAGAAAAACCGGAUCGCUGCAGCUUUAGUAUAUAGUGGGUCAUUGUUUAUAUGGGAUUAUUGUUUACAACCGGCGGUAAUGUUUGCUUUGCACUGGAUUACUGUUUACUGGUGAAAAUGAAUAGUGAAUGUCAAAAAAAGUCAAAAAAAUCAGGAAAACCGAAUCGUUGCGAUAUGGGAUUAUUGUUUACAAAGGGGGUAAUGUUUGCUUUGCACUGGAUUACUGUUUACUGAUGUUGAUGUGGACGUGAAAAUGAACAAUGAAUGUCAAAAAAAAGUCAAAAAAAUCAGGAAAACCGAAUCGUUGCGGCUUUAGUAUAUAUAAGUAUAUUUUAAAUGUCACCCCAAUGCAAUGAGCUGAGAAUUUUGAGGGAAGUCAAAAUGACUAUUUACCUUAGCAUAUGAUCAGCAUGUGAACGAUUGAAAACAUACUAUGCACAGCUUGUUAGUGUCAGGAACAUGAAUUGUUAGUGCCCAUGACCAUGAGCUACACACCAUUCAGCACACAGCAUCACGCUUAUCACGCUGCUAUUUACUUUUACGAUGUUUUGAACAUUGCCACUCCAUCUCUUUAUAUAUGUCCAAACCAUAUAGAUCUUUUCUGCAGGUGUUCCUUCCAUUGAUUAUUAAGUACCAUUGUACACACAGUACUAAAGAUUUGAUGUGUUUCCUUGGCGAUGAGUUGAGAUUUUAGAAGAAACUGAAAGAAAAUAUGGACAAUCCCAACUCGCCUCCAAGCAUUUGUUGAGAUUUUAGAAGAAACUGAAAGAAAAUAUGGACAAUCCCAACUCAGCUCCAAGCAUUUGUGUGUACGUACUGAGAAACCAGGAAAAUUGGACACGAAAAGAUGCUUCUGCAAACCCAACAUCCGUAGAUCAGAUUAUAUCCCAUCGGACAAGUGUUCAGUUUGUUCGAAUCAAACUAUGAAUGUGUCUGACAGAGAAAUGCUGAGUGUGUCCACCAAGCAGAAAUAAAUUAAAGUGGAGCCAUGUACAUAAUUCUUGUUUCUUGGUUUGGUGUAACUAAAAACUGUGAUGUGUUUGGGUUAUUUGAAAUAUACGGAUGUCUCGAAUAUUGCUCUAUCACUCUAUAUAUAAUUAUGGACCAUUUACAUCAUUUGUAUUUGUGCUCCUUCAUCGGUCAUCGGGUGAUGACUUAUGAGAUGUUGAAAAGACUAUUGUUGCAUCUUACUAUUUUUUAGACUUGCAUGGCAGGUGCUCCGCCGAUUUCAUUAAAAGGGAAAAGAAAUACAGAGUGGUCCGAAUUAUGAGGAAAACUAGGCCGAAAACCAUUGAACUAAAAAGAAAACAAAGAAAGAAAAAAACAACCAUCGAUACAACACGAACAAACCACCUCCACGAAUCACAACCUCUGUCCGAAAUGAUAGUGAGCAAGAUCUUCAAAGACGCCUUCAAGAAGGAAAGCAGUAUAACCUGACACCAUCGUCGUCUUCGGCAUCGACCUCCGUCGAUCACAAAGCUUUCACCCAGAUCCGCACAAGACCACUCCACCGAACCUUGAGAAUGGUCCGUCCUAGCCAACAACCCCAGUGCCGCUUCCAAUCCAAACCGGCCAGGACUCAGUGGUGAGAGGUAGCUCUUCGACAAUGCCUCCAAGGAGGAAAAGGACGCCCGCAAGCGCCAACAUUGCCGGCAUCGACCCCCGUCGAACAAACAAGCUUUCGCCCAGAGCCUAAAAUCUCACCACCUCUACAGACUCCGGGGAGGGAUGUUGGGGAACGUCGCAUGGGAAACAAAAAAUUUCCUACGUGCACGAAGACCUAUCAUGGUGAUGUCCAUCUACGAGGGGGAUUUCAGAUCUACGUACCCUUGUAGAUCGCACAGCAGAAGCAUAAAUAAACGCGGUUGAUAUAGUGGAACGUCCUCAAGUCCCUCGAUCCGCCCCGCGAACCGUCCCACCAACCGUCCCGCGAUCCGUCCCACGAUCCGCUCCGAUGUAGUGCUGAACGGACGGCACCUCCGCGUUCAGCACACGUACAGCUCGACGAUGAUCUCGGCCUUCUUGAUCCAGCAAGAGAGACGGAGAGAUAGAUGAGUUCUCCGGCAGCGUGACGGCGCUCCGGAGGUUGGUGUUGAUCUAAUCUCAGCAGGGCUCCGCCCGAGCUCCGCAGAAACGCGAUCUAGAGGAAAAACCUUAGAGGUAUGUGGUCGGGCUGUCGUGGAAAAGUUGUCUCAAAUCAGCCCUAAAACAUCCGUAUAUAUAGGUGGGAGGGGUGGGGCCUUGCCUUGGGGCUCAAGGAGCCCCAAGGGGUUCGGCCGAAGGGGGGGAGGAGGAGUCCUCCUCCAAUCCUAGUCCAACUAGGAUUGGAAGGUGGAGUCCUUCCCUUCCUUCCCACUUCCCUUUUUUUUUCUUUGAUUUUCUUAUCUCCUUGCGCAGGGGCCUCUUUGGGCUUGCCCACCAGCCCACUAAGGGCUGGUGCGGCACCCCUAAGGCCUAUGGGCUUCCCCGGGGUGGGUUGCCCCCCCNCCCAUUCGUCAUUCCCGAUACAUUCCCGGUAAUUCCGAAAACCUUCCGGUAAUCAAAUGAGGUCAUCCUAUAUAUCAAUCUUCGUCUCCGGACCAUACCGGAAACCCUCGUGACGUCUAUGAUCUCAUCCGGGACUCCGAACAACAUUCGGUAACCAACCAUAUAACUCAAAUACGCAUAAAACAACGUCGAACCUUAAGUGUGCAGACCCUACGGGUUCGAGAACUAUGUAGACAUGACCCGAGGGACUCCUCGGUCAAUAUCCAAUAGCGGGACCUGGAUGCCCAUAUUGGAUCCUACAUAUUCUACGAAGAUUUUAUCAUUUGAACCUCAGAGCCAAGGAUUCAUAUAAUCCCGUAUGUCAUUCCCUUUGUCCUUCGGUAUGUUACUUGCCCGAGAUUCGAUCGUCAGUAUCCGCAUACCUAUUUCAAUCUCGUUUACCGGCAAGUUUCUUUACUCGUUCCGUAAUACAAGAUCCCGCAACUUACACUAAGUCACAUUGCUUGCAAGGCUUGUGUGUGAUGUUGUAUUACCGAGUGGGCCCCGAGAUACCUCUCCGUCACACGGAGUGACAAAUCCCAGUCUCGAUCCAUACUAACUCAACGGACACCUUCGGAGAUACCUGUAGAGCAUCUUUAUAGCCACACAGUUACGUUGUGACGUUUGAUACACACAAAGCAUUCCUCCGGUGUCAGUGAGUUAUAUGAUCUCAUGGUCAUAGGAACAAAUACUUGACACGCAGAAAACAGUAGCAACAAAAUGACACGAUCAACAUGCUACGUUUAUUAGUUUGGGUCUAGUCCAUCACAUGAUUCUCCCAAUGAUGUGAUCCAGUUAUCAAGCAACAACAACUUGUACAUAGUCAGAAGACCCUGACUAUCCUUGAUCAACUGGCUAGCCAACUAGAGGCUUGCUAGGGACAGUGUUUUGUCUAUGUAUCCACACAUGUGUCUAAGUCUUCAUUCAAUACAAUUAUAGCAUGGAUAAUAAACGAUUAUCUUGAUACAGGAAUUAUAAUAAUAACUUUAUUUAUCAUUGCAUCUAGGGUAUAAUUCCAACAAGGGAGCCAAGCCAAAGAGAACCUGCAAACCGAGCCUUGACUCCGCUUGUAUUCAACAAUGGCGAGACCAGACCAAUUAGAUCGGAAGGGCUCCACGGCCUACGCAUAACCAUGGUGGAUUGCUCGUGUUGAGACCGGCACCACCGCGUACACGAGCAUCACACUAUUACCACCGGGGCGACCUCUAGAGCCGCCACCUCCACCACUACCACGAUGACCACCACAACCAUGGCCCCAAAAGCCCAGUUGGGACAAGAGAGGAGCCAUAACCACAGUCAAGCCUCAGAUCCACCUCCAAAGCCGAAGCUCUCGCAGGAAGGGCAGAUCGGGCACCAACUCCACUGCGCCUCCGCGCCGAACCACCAGUCGGCGCACCAUCCGCCCCGAAGCAAACCCCGACGGCCAGCCCCGUCGCCGGAGCGGACAGAUCGGGACCGCCCCGAUCUGAGCCUCUGAGCCCGCUCCUGGACAGCCGUCGCAGCAGCCGAGCAGCCCACCCACCUCACCCCGAAACACCGACGCAAGAGCCGCGACGACGCGCCGGCCGUCGCACUCUGCUCGUCGCCCGCCGCCAUGAGAUCCCCAACUCGUGGAGGACGCCGCCGCGGGAGAAAAGAACCGGCCCCGCCGCCGCCAGCUUCAAGCGAGCUUUGCUCGCGGGAGGCACCAGCGACGGCGAGGGGAGGAGGAGGGUGGGGGCGCCGGGGGCCUGUUGGUCGGGGUCGCCGCCCGUGUCGUCCCUGGGGACGGAGCGACGCGGGGGCUGUGUGUGUGUGGGGGGGUAAUUGGUUGUGUUGUUGCAUCUUAUAGGUGAGGUAAUAGAAGAAGCCCAAAACAUAUGUGAAUAGUUGUUCAGAUUACUGAAGUGUACUGCAUGUCUCAACAGGAAAAUGCACUGCUGCAGAUUUGAGCAGACAUUGACCUUAUAUUUAAGAUUGUAUCCAAGGAAAACUGCCCACUGAUCAAAGUGUGCAUAACCAUCUCGAUGAUGAAAACCCAAGAUCUUCGACCGUACAUCGACAACGCUUGUGCAUUGUUUUUUUCUUGAAGGCGUUGCUUUUGGAAAGCCCCAUUUGUAAGAUGGGUGUUCGGUGCAGGUUAAAGUGCUACUGAUGCUAGUGAUUGAUGACUGUGGCAGGGUCUGUUUUUGUUGCUAUUCUUUUUAUUAUAUGUGUGUAUCCUUGAUGCCUUUGAUCAUUUUGUUCGUACAGAGCCCGGGUAUAAUCAGAUUUGCGAUAUCAAUAUAUUUUCUUUGUGAGAAAAAAACUUCAAAAUGUUGGUUAGAAAAAGAGUUCGAGUAACUGAAUAGGGAAGAGCAACAAAGCCAUGUCUUAGUGUCCUCCUCUAUCAUGAGUUUGGGAAGAAAAAAAGGGAUGCAACUUUGACUCCUUCAAAAAAUGAGUUGAAAUAUUAGUUAGAACUAAGUGGUUAUUUACCCCCACCGUAUACUUGUGAUAUGCAUGUGAACAACUAAAGAUUAUGCAUAGCUCAGCUAGCUAACAUGAGAAACUCUAUUACUCAGGAGUUGCACGCCUUUUCAGAGGCAUCACGCUUACUGUGCAGAUGUAACCAACUUUCUGAACAUUGCCGCAUAUCUCCUAAUUAACCAUAUCCACCUUUUCAGUUGGGCUCCUUCCGGUUGUCAUUGGGAUGAGCUUACAUUAUUACUGAACUUCUGAUGUCUUUUUUUCAUGCAGGAAAAUUUAACAGGAAAAUGUUCCGCUGCAAAUCCAGGUUCGCCAUGGAGAAGUGCUCGGUUUGGCUAACUAAGAGCCGUUUAUUUAAUUAAAUCAUAUGGGUGAUCUAAGUUGGAAUUCCAACACAAAACCAAAGGAGUACGACCUUCAAAUACUAUGGAGUACCAUGAGUUGGGUAAAAUCGUCGGCAUGCUGAUUGUUGCUACGCUUCUUUCGAUUAAAAAAACAUAUAUUCAACUGUUCGAUCUCUGUUCUUCCGUCGAGACAUGGUGACCCGGAUGGCUUUACCUGCCGGCGGUCCGUGCGCAAACCCACGGGGUGCUGAGCGGCGCGGCGGGAGCCGAAUGCCCAACGGCGAUAGUGAGUCUAGAACCUGGUAAACCAGAUGCAUCCAUGACGCGGCGGCCAGAAACUUAAUCGGCUUCAUCAAGACUAAACUAUAGCAAACCUUGACGCCAGGGCAUAGUUAGCUUGAAAAACUGUAAAAUAGCAGAUCAUCGCAUACAACAACUCUUUAAUUAGUAACGAGAGAUCCUUGGAGGAUCUCAAACAGACGCGCGGUGGCGCUGUGCGUUAAAUAAAUUUUGCAGCCCCGAAACAGCGUUUUAGAGCAUCUCCAAUGGCAACGUAAAAAAUCCGCACCCAAUAAAUUUUUUAGCGCGCCACUGUAGCAGUUUUGAAGCGUGGGGACCGGAGCAUCUCCAACAGACGCGCGUUAGUGCGGCGCCCAAUCCAGUCCGAUCCAGCGGUCCCAUCUGCAGCAGCUCAGAGUUUGCUGCGCGCGUAAGCCGGCGCACCAAAUAUGCUGCGCGCGAUAGCGUUUUUAAACGCGCGUCCAAAAAUAUUUAGCGCGCGCAGUGUUUUGCAGCUUCUGCUGGAGCAGUCCGGCGCCCAAAAAACGGAUCUUUUAGCGCGCGGAGCAGUUUUUGGACGCUUGUUGGAGAUGCUCAGCACACGCAAAAGGAUGGUUGUUUUUCAAACGCUGUAUAAUUUAACGUGCCACUGUACGCUGCAAAAUCCAGCGGGUGCUCAAUCGUCGUUAAAAAACAUAUACGCAACAGAAACAUUCAAAUUCAAAUGUAAUUUUAUAAGGGAACCACAAGCAAUUUCAUAUGAUGCUAAAUGCAAAUAAAAAUAACAGAACCACAAGCUAGACUAACUCUCGCCCUCCUAGAUGGUGUGGUCCGACAACAUAAACGGUUGACCCGAGGAUCAUCCUUGUCCCAGGUUAAAGCUGUCGGUUGUCUAUCUGGGCAUCGAACGCUUGUCCGCCCGACGCGGGACUCACUCCGCCUUCCAUUGCGCCCAGAAUUCGUUCUAGACGGCGACAUCCUAUGAGAAGAGCACUUGCCACGCCCAGGCCCGGCCCUANNNNNNNNNNNNNNNNNNNNNNNNNNNNNNNNNNNNNNNNNNNNNNNNNNNNNNNNNNNNNNNNNNNNNNNNNNNNNNNNNNNNNNNNNNNNNNNNNNNNNNNNNNNNNNNNNNNNNNNNNNNNNNNNNNNNNNNGGGGGGGGGGGGGGGCGGCCGCCCCGGGCCCCCAAAGUCCAAGGGGCCCUAGCAGGUGGCGCAUGGAAUGGCCCAGGGAUUAGGCAGGGAGUGCACGUAGCCCACGACGAGUGCACGACAUCUGAUCGCUAGGAUCGUUAGGAUAGUAAGUUUUCUAUAGAUGGCGAUGAUCCAUAUACUAUUCCCCUGGCCCUCGAUCGUGAUUUGUUGAUGCUGGACAAACAACAGAAGUACAUCGACGAGCUCUGUCUUCUAAUUAAUCUCCCAAAUUCAGUUACCAAAAACCUAAUUAAAGGCCACAGACGGAAUGCUGCAGGUGCAGAUGUUCAACAAUUCCCUGUUGGACGUCGGCAUGCAAUCUGCCGCUGAUACGUUUCAGGUUUUGCUUCUAUCAAAUGUUCUUUAUUCAAUCAAAUCUUUUCCUGCUGCUGCUACCGGUUUGCUACAAUACCGGUUCAGGCGUUCAUACAAGCAACCCAUUAAGGUGUGUUUUUCAAUCCAUGAAUGGAUAUGUACCACAUCUAGCAAAUGUAUGUCUAAUACUAUAUAAGAUUGUGCUACACAAUAUUAUCAUCUGCAAGAAUUGUGAGAUUUAAUUUAAAGAUGCCUCUCACAAAAGUUCAUGUUUCAUAUGAAAUUGUUAGAUGGGAUUAAUAUUGAUAUCACCAACAAUGACUUUGCAUAUAUGAAUGUCAGAAGAACAUUUUCAAAUAAUGUCAAGAAAUAUACAAGUAACAUUCUCUAUACAGAAAUUGUUAUUUUGAUGAUUAUACUAAGAGGCCUCAGAAUCUAGUCUCGCCCCGGGCCCCCAAAAUUUUAGGACCGGCCCUCGCCACGCCACCAUGGCGGCCUUGUCUGUCUCGGCGACUCUCCUGCUUUCGCUGGAUGUGGCGACCCCGUCGUUGAUUAGAUGUGGGGAGUAGUUCAUCUACGUCUGAGGCUGUCAGAUGCGCCACGCCGCCGUGUCAUACAUGUAGACGGCCUCGUGAGUGGUCUUGAAGGUUUCGAGCCCGAGGUAUGCAUCCUCGGAGCAGAUCUCCGUGUAAUACAAGCCGAAGGGUCGGAGACGGACGCCGCGGUAGCCCGAGCUGCUUCGGGGCGCGGUGGCAUGACGGGGCGCGGGGGCGCGGCAGCGGUAGGGGAGAAGGCGCGGCAGCGGCGGGGCGCUGGAAGAGGCGGGGUGAGAAGGCGCGGAAGGAAAUUCUUGCACUAGGUGAGCGUAGAGAGGCGCGGCUUUUAUAGCGCGUGUUGGGCAUCGCGCGUCAAAGCUGCGGCGCGCUGCCGCUUUCCCCAUACGUGGGAUAAAAAAAAUUGCAUGCCCGAUUUUUUUCGCGCCUGCUGGAGCGCGCCACGUGGCCUCUCGCAAGCCAAAACAAUCGUUUUUCUCACGUGCGGCUUUUUUAGUGCGCCUGUUAAAGAUGCCCUUAUAUCGCUACAACAAAACACUACAGCUAUAGUAUGUGCGGCUAUUGUAGAUUGGAGAUUCUGAUGCAUUUCUUCUGCAUCAACUGAUGUACAAGUCGUCUUUAUUCUGUUAUUUAACAAGGACUUAUAAAAUAAAGCAUAUAGAUCAAUUUAAAGACAUCAUUCUGGGUACAAGAUUUAAUGAUGUGCCCUGUCCUUAUGCCACGCUCAUCAAGAAAUUUGAUGGCCUCACCAAGCUGCCUGGCGUCUAGCUAGGAGCACCAAUUGGUCUAGCGGACCCUUACAAUCCACCGCAUGCGCAUGCUGUAAGAAUCCGUCGCCGCCUUCCUCCGUUGUCCCAUCUUUAGGAGCAAUCAAUGCAAUGGUAUUGUCAAACCCUUUUGUCGUCGAUGCUACCUGACACCGGACAACGUCAUCCUCCUGCGCAUGCCUGCCAAACGCUAUCCAUUGUUGAGACCCCGCUGCACCUUGCCGCCAUGACUCACCGUGUCGAUACUAUAAUACUAUAGAUGGCAUGCCGCUCCAGCUUGAUCACCACACAAGAAGAAUACGUAGACCGAGGCACAGCCACCACGCCAAACAGAAGCCCCUCCAGCCAUUGUACAACCCCAAAAAUGAUGCCCCAUGAGAAUGACGACGUAGAAAUCUCGCCAUCAUCCGAUCCGUAAAGCCCAAAUCUUGGAUUUCCCCGAGGUAUAUAGGGAACGAAAAUUAUUAUGUCAACCUCGCUGCACCCAUGCUAAGUUCAGUUGUGUCAUGUUAUUUCAGCUAUCUCAUAAGCGUAUCUGUACGCAGUUUCUUUAAGACUUUAGCCAGAAACGUGCUUGGUUCACGUUGCGGCAGUGUGAGUCGUAGUGUAGACAGAGUCCUUGUUUACUUAGUCAAGUAAUCGUGCAAGGGUCUGGCCACGAUCUGUCCGUGGGAUGGCACGGAGAAAACGGAUCGUGAUCAGCGCAUUGUGCGAGUUUGUUAUACAGCUGAAUAAAAGGAAUGAGCAGAAAAGACGCAGCGGUUACGCGUCGCAAAAAUCUCCCUGUUCGCUGCGUUCGUGCAGCUCGUCUUUCUCCUUCAGUUCAUCUCAGGUGUGUCCACCUCGCGUGAGUGUGUCGAUCCAAGGCUGGUUCUAACACUUGGUAUUCAGAGCCUGGUUCACGUACGGCGGCGGAGGUAGGAGGAGUUGUGGCGGCGGAGAUCGACGAUGGGCGACACUUCACCGAGCGGCAGCGGCGGCGGAAAGUACACGCCGCCGGCAAGGAGGCCUGGUGAUGAGGGCACGGCCGCGGAGGUGGCGAUCGUACCGCGCAUGCCGACGAGGACCGGCGGCGUCCCGAUCCAGUAUCCCAUGCUCACGGACUCGAACUAUGGUCUGUGGGCGGUGAAGAUGAAGCUGCUCCUUCGCCCCUACGGUGUCUGGCCGGCGAUCGAGGGGACAGGCGAGUUUAAUCAAAACAGGGAUGACGAAGCCUUUGCUGCCUUGUCUCAGUCUGUUCCCGACUCGGUGAUGAUGGCAGUGGCUGAAUGCACUAGCGCUCACGAGGCCUGGGAAGCGAUCCGGCGCAUGCGUGUCGGUGAGGACCGCGUCAAGAAGGCGCGGAUCAAGCAGUUGAAGCGACAGCUCGACCGCAUGGAGAUGGACGAUGGUGAGUCCGUUAGUGUGUUUGCGCAGAAAUUGCUGACUCUCGUCGGAGAAAUCCGAUCGUUGGGCGAGACGGUGUCAGAUGAGUCGAUCAUUGAGGUCCUCUUCAACGCCGUCCCGAGCCGGUUUGGGGACAUCGUGAACACCAUUGAGCAGUGGGGUGACCUCACUACCAUGACCGUGUCGGAGGCGGUUGGUCGCCUCGCCGCGUUUGAAGAGAGCCAACGCGGGCGGCGCCGUCAAUCCGGUGGGAAGGAGGACCAGCUGAUGCUGAUGACACAGGCCCUUGAGCAGCUCAUGAAGGGCAAAAAUGGGCCACCGGGAGCCGGCAGUAGCAACGCUGGUCGUGGCCGCGGAGGUGGUCGAGGUCGAGGCGGUGGCCGCGGUAACCGCGGACAAGCCGGGCGCGGCGAGAACAAGGACGUGGAGAAGCAGAAGAAACACCGUAAGUUCGACAUCACUAAGGUCAGGUGUUUUAACUGUAAUAAGAUGGGACAUUUUCAGUCAGACUGUCCAGAGCCCAAACGAGAGCAGGCAAAUUUUGCCCAGGAGGAGGAGGCAGAUGAGCAACCUCUGCUCAUGAUCGCAGCAUGUCAGCUGGCCCCAGCAAAGAUCGAGUUGAAGGAACAAGUGUUCUUGAAUGAGAAGCAGGUGCUUCCGAAGCUAAGCGGUGAUUGGGACAUCUCCUGGUACUUGGACACCGGAGCAAGCAAUCAUAUGACCGGUUGCCGCGACAAGUUUGCAGAGCUCGAUGAGGCAGUAAACGGCAAGGUCAAAUUUGGCGAUGGUUCUGCUGUGGACAUCCGUGGACGAGGUUCAGUUCUCUUGAAGUGUCUCACAGGUGAGCACCGGGUUCUGACGGAUGUAUACUUCAUUCCUCGACUUAAGAACAACAUUAUCAGUUUGGGCCAGCUAGAUGAAAAUGGAUGCAAGUAUGCAAGUGAGGAUGGAGUAAUGACCGUGUGGGACAGAGAAAGAAAUGUUCUUGCACGAGUGAAUAGGACCAAGAACAGGAUGUAUAUACUGAACAUCCAGCCCACUGAACCUGUGUGUCUGCUUGCUCACGCUAAGGAUCAAGCAUGGUUGUGGCACAUGAGGUAUGGACAUGUAAAUUUCAGGUCACUUCGUACACUUGCAGCAGAAGAGAUGGUACAUGGCAUGUCGUACCUCGACCGGGUGGAGCAAAUCUGUGAUGGGUGCAUGAUAGCAAAACAGAGACGCCUCUCCUUCCCAGUUCAGGCGACUUACCGCGCAACGGAGCAACUUCAGCUCAUCCAUGCAGACUUGUGCGGACCUAUAACACCUGAAACGCCUGGCGGAAAGAGGUAUUUUCUUUUGUUAGUGGAUGACCACUCUCGGUUCAUGUGGAUUACUCUGUUGCGGAGCAAAGAUGAAGCUCUCAAUGGACUGCAGAAAAUCCAAAAGGCAGCUGAAGUUGAAAGUGGGCAUCAGUUAAAGGAAAUUAGAACAGACCGAGGGGGUGAGUUUACGUCAAGAGAAUUUGCAGAGCACUGUGAGCGGCACGGAAUCAAGCAUUUUCGCACGUCACCGUAUAGCCCACAACAAAAUGGUGUGGUUGAAAGGAGAAACCAAACCGUGGUGGGCAUGGCGCGCAGUCUGCUGAAAAGUAUGGGGGUGCCACCUCGGUUUUGGGGUGAAGCAGUGACCACUGCCGUAUAUUUGCUGAACAGAUCGUUGACAAAGAGUGUCAAGGAGAAAACACCAUAUGAGGCUUGGUAUGAGAAAAAGCCGUCAGUUCAACAUCUUCGUACUUUUGGUUGUGUUGCUCAUGUGAAGAAGGUUGGGCCCGGCGUGUCAAAACUCUCUGAUAGAAGCUCACAAAUGAUCUUUAUUGGUUAUGAACCUGGCUCCAAAGCCUACCGCAUGUAUGACCCUGAAAGCAAGAAACUUGUUGUAUCACGAGAUGCAGUGUUCGAGGAAGACAGGUGUUGGGAUUGGAGCAUCUCGGGAUCAGUGGAAAGUAGCGAUGGAAGUUCAUUUGUUAUCAGCUACCCAGAACAACCAAAUUGUGACGAAGCAGGAGAGGUAGCAGAAGACGUUGCCCCGGAGGCGGAUUCAUCAAGUAGAACCCCUGCAAUGGCAGCGCCUCGGCUGGGUGAUAGAACAAGACGUGCUAACGACGGGUCUGCGAUCCCGCUGGACCUAGAAGCCUCUCCGGUGACUCCUGCUUAUGCUCCUGGUUCUCCUGACACACCGUACUCCGAGCCUUCCGAGGGCCCACAAGGCAAGCGCCUUCUGGAUGAUGUCUAUGAGGAAACGACAGAGGUAGAGGCAGCCUACUCAGGCCUCUGUUUAUUUGGUAUGGAAGAACCUGCCAAUCACUUCGAGGCGAUGAAAGAGUCGUGUUGGCAGAGAGCUAUGCAGGAUGAAUUGAGCUCCAUUGAGGCAAAUAGUACAUGGCACCUUUGUGACCUGCCAAAGGGAUGCAGGCCCAUUGGUCUGAAGUGGAUUUAUAAGAGAAAGAAGGAUCCCAAUGGAGUUGUAGUCAAACACAAGGCGAGGCUGGUAGCUAAAGGGUAUGUACAACGCCAAGGGGUCGAUUUUGAGGAAGUUUUUGCUCCUGUUGCACGCUUGGAAUCUGUCAGACUUCUAGUGGCACUUGCUGCACAAUUUGGUUGGAAAAUGCAUCAUAUGGAUGUUAAAUCAGCGUUUCUCAACGGUGAUCUGAAUGAAGAAGUCUAUGUGAGCCAACCGCCGGGGUUUGAGAUUGCCGGAUGUGACAGCAAGGUGUACAGACUUAAGAAGGCUCUCUACGGCCUUCGACAAGCUCCAAGGGCAUGGAACUCAAAAUUGGAUACUACUCUCACUGAAUUUGGCUUUGAAAAAUGCCCUUCCGAGUCGGGUCUGUACAGGAAAAGGGCAGCUAAGUCAGUACUGAUAGUGGGUGUGUAUGUUGAUGAUUUGAUUAUCACUGGCGGCAGUGACCGUGCCAUCAAAGAAUUCAAGGACCAGAUGAAGUCUAAGUUUAGCAUGAGUGACUUGGGUCUACUAAGUUAUUACCUGGGUAUUGAAGUUAAGCAAUCAGAAGAAGGUAUUGUUUUGUGCCAAUCAGGUUAUGCUUCCCGGAUCCUUGAGAAAAUGGGGAUGUCAGACUGUAAGUCAGCCCAAACCCCACUGGAACCCAGGCUGAAACUCAGCAAGAACAGUAAGGCUAAAGAAACUGAUGCAACUCAAUACAGGAGUUUAGUGGGGAGUUUGAGAUACUUACUUCACACACGUCCUGAUCUCAGUUUUGCAGUGGGUUUUGUUGGCAGAUUUAUGGAGAAGCCCACAACAGAGCAUUUGGUCACAGUCAAAAACAUUUUGAAGUACGUAAAAGGAACACUCAACCUUGGAUGUGUCUACAACAAGUCUAGAGAGUAUGCGCCUCAACUGAUAGGAUACAGCGACAGUGAUCAUGCGGGAGACAUUGAUGAUCGCAAAAGUACUUCAGGUGUUCUGUUUUACUAUGGUGGCUGUCCCAUAACCUGGACAUCGCAAAAACAGAAAAUCGUCGCUCAGUCUUCCUGUGAGGCUGAAUAUGUAGUUGCUGCAUCAGCAGCUUGUCAAGGGAUUUGGUUAGCUAGGCUUCUUGGAGAAUUACUGGAUCAGAAGCCAAACAAGGUACUACUGAAAGUGGAUAAUCAAUCAGCCAUUUCCUUGUGCAAAAAUCCUGUGUACCACGAGCGAAGCAAGCACAUUGAGAUAAAAUAUCACUUCGUGAGAAGCUGUGUUGAGGAGGGGAAGAUCAUUGUGGAACAUAUAAGAACUGAAGAACAGCUUGCUGACAUGUUAACAAAGUCACUUCCUAGGGUUCGGUUCCAGGAGAUGAAGGAGAUGAUCGGAUUGCGUGAUGUGAAGUGAGUGCAGCAGAGAUUAAGGAGGUGAAUAUUAUGUUAACCUCGCUGCACCCAUGCUAAGUUCAGUUGUGUCAUGUUAUUUCAGCUAUCUCAUAAGCGUAUUUGUACGCAGUUUGUCUAAGACUUUAGCCAGAAACGUGCUUGGUUCACGUUGCGGCAGUGUGAGUCGUAGUGUAGACAGAGUCCUUGUUUACUUAGUCAAGUAAUCGUGCAAGGGUCUGGCCACGAUCUGUCCGUGGGAUGGCACGGAGAAAACGGAUCGUGAUCAGCGCAUUGUGCGAGUUUGUUAUACAGCUGAAUAAAAGGAAUGAGCAGAAAAGACGCAGCGGUUACGCGUCGCAAAAAUCUCCCUGUUCGCUGCGUUCGUGCAGCUCGUCUUUCUCCUUCAGUUCAUCUCAGGUGUGUCCACCUCGCGUGAGUGUGUCGAUCCAAGGUUGGUUCUAACAAAAAUCACCCCAAUACACCUUUAACGAGGUUGGGACGCCCGCAGGUGCCGCUAUCGACAGUUCUGGCCAAAGCCGAACCAUGCUUUCGCUGGCAAAUUUUCGCCCAUCCCCAGGUCGACCACCAGAUCAACAUCCUCUGUCAUCUAGCACACCCAUGGGUGAUGUCUGUUGCCGGGAAACCGCAUGACCGGAGCCGCACCACCGCCCCGCCUAUAUGAGCCAACAGCGGUGCUGGCCUGCUGGGUCCCUCACCAUUGCCCCGCCGCUGCCGUCGACGCACACAUUCAGGACACCCGUGCAAAUCUCCACCGCAACUGAAUCCCGGAGCGGCGGAGGAAGGCCAGCCACCACCAUCAUCCCAUGCCUAGGCUUUGCCCCGUGGAGCUCCCGCGGCAGAGAGUAGAGGGGCGGAUAUUCGGUUGGCUCUGGUACAAUUCCAUACUGGAGAUAACAAAACUGUAUAGACAAUUUCCUCCGUUCAAUCAUCAGUUGGGAGAAAUGGUAAACAACUUUGCCUUCCGGUAAAAAUGUGAUGAUAUAUUAGUUCGAGUUGAACAUGAAUAUUUACCCGUGAUGCACGUACAUUGCAAGUGAACAACACGAGAAACACGAUUACUGAUCAUGAACUUCACGCCACUCGAUAGCAUCACACUUGUCACGCAUUAAUUUGACCAAAGUUUUGAGCAUUGCCCACUCUUUCUCUUUAUAUAUCUCUAAAUCGUAUGCACCUUUUCUAUGUUGCUUCCGUUGGUCAUUAGUGUAUGACUAUAUAAUUACUACUGAACUUUUCGUGUGUUCUCUUGCCAUGGCCAAAGGCUGGGGUUUACUCCCCUUUGGGAAAAAAAAAAGUGUUCUCUUGCCGAUGAGUUGAGAUUUUAGAAGAAACUGGGACAAAUUGAGGACAAGUAGCGCAUCGGUGAUGGGUCUGUGCCUGAUGUAGAUCCAAACAUCCAUGGGCCUGUAUCUCUGACAGAAUUUAUGUCUCAUCAAGACUUGAGAGACUUUAUAUGCAAGCCCGGCAAAAACGGACCGAUUUUAUCCCGUGGAAAAGUGCCUAGUUUGUUCGAGUCAAUUGUGUAGUGUGUCCUCUCAUUAUGUCCAUUGGGAGAAGGUAAACCCAAUUUUGUAGAGUGGAGGCAAGUAUGUAAAUUCAUCAUUUGCUUCUUCCAAAUAAUUAAAGAGCAAUGCAAUAUGAUAAUUCUUCCUCCAAGAGAGAUUGUAGACACGAAGUUAUCCAUCCACACAAUGUUUAUAUUAUCAAAUUGUCACCAUCCGUGAAUGCGAACACCCGAUCUUUAGAUGUUAGGCCAGUCUGGUUGUUUUUUUAGGCUGUGAGUUCUUAUCUUCGCAUGACAUGCCUGGGAGUGUUCUUUGUCUGUAAUAAGUCCAUCCGUAAUCGUUGACCUGGGUCAAGAUUCAGAAGGAGGCAACGUACUUCAGUUCCUAUCAGCGGCCGGUAUGGUUCUGACUGCAAUAUCUAAAGAGUAUCUCUAGAAACCUAAACCUCAAAAUGCAACUUUUCUUCCAGUUCAAUGGACACUGCAAGUCUGAUGCAUGACCAGCAGAUGAUCAUAGUUUGUAGUUUAGACGCAAACUGCAAUUCUAGGAAGGCAUACGAAGAUAGAUGAUUAAGACAGUGUGGUACAUAGGCGAAGUUUGAAAUGUAAUCACAGUCGGUAGAUAUGAGAAAUGAACCUAGGAAAGUGAUUGUUUAUCACAUUCAGAUAGUCUAACNNNNNNNNNNNNNNNNNNNNNNNNNNNNNNNNNNNNNNNNNNNNNNNNNNNNNNNNNNNNNNNNNNNNNNNNNNNNNNNNNNNNNNNNNNNNNNNNNNNNNNNNNNNNNNNNNNNNNNNNNNNNNNNCAUUCAGAUAGUCUAACCAGUACCUCUACUGAUUUUAGGAGUUCAAUUGCAUGCUUUGACUUGAAAAACGGGAUGCAAACCAAUCGAUUUGAGCUUAAUGUCAGCGUCAAUAGUGUAAGAUGGAUUCCUUCAUGCUCUGGUUGCAUUAUGGUCAUGUUGUUAACUCCUCAUGAGCNNNNNNNNNNNNNNNNNNNNNNNNNNNNNNNNNNNNNNNNNNNNNNNNNNNNNNNNNNNNNNNNNNNNNNNNNNNNNNNNNNNNNNNNNNNNNNNNNNNNNNNNNNNNNNNNNNNNNNNNNNNNNNNNNNGUUAACUCCUCAUGAGCUAGACACACCAUUCAGUAGCAUCACACCUUUUGAGCUGCUAAGUUGGUCAUACUCACCAAAGAUAAUUUGAUUAGAAGAAGAUGGGUGGGUAAUCCUAGAUGUUGCUUUGUGACAACAAUGAAACAAUCAAACACCUCUUUCUCGAAUGCCCUUUGGCUAGACUGUUAUGACGCGCCAUUCAUAUAGCUUUCAAUAUUAAUACUCCAUUAAGUAUGAACAUGUUAUUUGGGACGUGGCUUCAUGGGGUGGAAACCAACACAGUAAAGCAAAUUAGGAUAGGAGCAUGUGCUUUAUUAUGUGCUAUUUGGAAUAGCAGGAAUCNNNNNNNNNNNNNNNNNNNNNNNNNNNNNNNNNNNNNNNNNNNNNNNNNNNNNNNNNNNNNNNNNNNNNNNNNNNNNNNNNNNNNNNNNNNNNNNNNNNNNNNNNNNNNNNNNNNNNNNNNNNNNNNNNNNAGGAAUGAUAUGAUUUUUAACAACAAUAGAUUCAACAAUUUCUUACAGGUCAUAUACAGAGCAACAUCUUGAUCUGUACGUGGUCGUUACUCACGCCUGCGGAGUCCAGGGAUCGUUUGGUUAUUGGGUGCAACCGAUGGAAGACGGCAGAGCGGGCUAUCUUCAACCAAUAUGGAUGGCGGCACACUAACAGGCUAGGUGUAUAGGCAUUUUAGUCUGAGUUUCAUUUUGCCCAUGCUGACAUGUAUUUCUUUUUUUUAUUGAGAGACUUCAUGCUCAUUUUGUACCUUGUACUAUGGUUCAACCUUUGAGAUUAAAUAAAAUGGCUGCAUGCAUCAUCAUGAUGCAGAGGCCGGGGUCCUCCUCCUUUUCAAAAAAAAAGUUGACUGAAGUUUUGACUAUUGAUUGGUGUUCGCUCUGUCCCUAUGUGUACUUUAGACUAUUUACACCUUCAGACUUUUGUGUUCCUUUGAGUAGUCUUCAGGUUAUGGAGUGAUGAAUUAGACAGACGUCUUCAGUGUGUUCAUGCUAAUGAGGUGAUAUUUUAGCAGAAACUGAAAAGGAGANNNNNNNNNNNNNNNNNNNNNNNNNNNNNNNNNNNNNNNNNNNNNNNNNNNNNNNNNNNNNNNNNNNNNNNNNNNNNNNNNNNNNNNNNNNNNNNNNNNNNNNNNNNNNNNNNNNNNNNNNNNNNNNNNNNNNNNNNNNNNNNNNNNNUGUUCGGAUUACUUGCGUGUACGUCUCCGGUCCUUAAGCUUGGCAUUGACAUGAUACGCCAUCUUGCUAGUGCCGUGAGAUUAUAAAAGAAACUGAAAAAGAAAUGUGAAUAGUUAUUGGUACUCGAAGUGUGUAGGAUGAAACCAUAAUCUUUGUGCUCAAUGUAUUUAGGAUGAAGACAUAACUUUUGUGCUCUUGAUGCACGAUUUAAUCGAGUACUAGCUCACUCGUGUUUCACGUGAUGAAGUUAGCGGUUGCUCGAUUUUGCUUUUACAGAUUGUGAAUCAAUAGUCUGUUUAACUACGUAUUCCCGAAUGCGCUUGUGAUUAUCCCGGCGGCCUUUGAUGUGAAGCUUUCAGUUAAAAAGCGAAGUGCAAUUUUCAACAAGACGGACAAACAAUGAUAGAUGAAAGGCAUGGAAUCCUCAAUGAAAUCUACGAGUGAAAUGCGUCAUUAGUCCAUCAACUUAAACUGUAACUGUUUGCACACUCUAGGCCAACAACUCGAGAAGUUACCGGAUUUAGUAUGCAAACUCAUUGAUUUGAUCAAAAAAGGCAAAAAUCGGCUCGGGAAUUAAAAAAACCGGUCACGUGGAUACCAUUUCAUCGCUCUGUUGACCGCUCGUGNNNNNNNNNNNNNNNNNNNNNNNNNNNNNNNNNNNNNNNNNNNNNNNNNNNNNNNNNNNNNNNNNNNNNNNNNNNNNNNNNNNNNNNNNNNNNNNNNNNNNNNNNNNNNNNNNNNNNNNNNNNNNNNNNNNNNNNNNNNNCUGUUGACCGCUCGUGACUUCACCAACUCAAGAAGUGAUUGAGCGUUUGGAGGGAUCUUCUGAUUUUUUUUUUCUCUCUCUCCUGAUUCUACAUGAAGAAACAAGCGGGCUGUGAAUUGUUGUGCAAGCCUGGUGNNNNNNNNNNNNNNNNNNNNNNNNNNNNNNNNNNNNNNNNNNNNNNNNNNNNNNNNNNNNNNNNNNNNNNNNNNNNNNNNNNNNNNNNNNNNNNNNNNNNNUAUUUUUUGACCUGGUGGUAAAUCUAUCACAAACUAGCAGUGGCGGGCACUAGUAGAUGCCCGCCACCAGUAACGAAAAAAGUAGUGGCAGGCGGUAAUAUGUGCCCACCACUAGUAUUUUUGGUCUCAAGGCAAAUCUGUCCAAAAACUACCAGCGGGGGCCAUAGUUAAUGCCCACCACUAGUAGAUAUAAUAGCAGUGAGAAGCUAUAUUUUGUACCCGCCACUAGUAUGUUUCCUGUUAUUUUUCCGUAAUGCUCGUAUUUUAGUAUUUUAUGUUUACUCUUACGGGCUAACUGUUUUUUGCAUUAAAGGUACGUCAUUUAAACUGUCAUGUAAGAGUUUCACCCAUUUUAAUGUUAAUUAACUACUUUUAGGACAUUAAAUUUGUUUUUAGGUAGGUAAUGGAGGUAAGUCCAGUUAAAGACUUAAAUACAUAGACAGAUCCGAAAGGAUGGCAAAUUUUGGCGUGUCAAUGUAAUAGUGUAUGUUAGCUGUGGGACAUAUUUGAACCCUAACUGAGAAAGCAGUGGUCGUUUCGUAUACAAAUUUGUCUCUUGUAAACGGAUAGAAAUGCAUUUAAUUGCUUAAAUAUAGCAAAAAGAUAACGGAAAAUGCAAUUUUUUUACAUGACACAUUUAAUGGUGUGUACUAAGUGUAACAAAAUUUCAAUGUCAAUAGACAAAACAUCGUUAGAUUCACAUACAAACUUGACAUGUUUCCUCUUGAUGGUUCGAUUGGUAAAUAAUCUACGUGAAAACUCCCAUGAAACAUUCUCAUUUUUUUACCACCAAAUACAUAAGCUAAAAUACAGCUAACUUAACCACUUUCCCGUCAUCGCCAUUAACAGCCGAGGGGAAAAACCUAUUCGUCGCUCUGUGCGAAACCUUGUCGGGACUUUGCACAGAGCGGGAGGGAGAUCGAUUUCAAAUGGAAUGGCUCAUUUAUCGGGUUUGCAGCGCCUCAGCUUUGGAAACCUACUAGAGGUUCCGAGUCGGUGUUUUUUCUGGUUUUGGGAAACUUAUUGAAGGUUCCAUGAAUCGGUAUUUUUUCUUUUUCUUUUUCUUCAGUUUUUUCUGUUUCUUUUUUUCUAUUUUGUUUCUGUUUCAAACAAAUGUAUUAGAUUUUCAAAAAAUGUUUUUGGCUUUUCAAAAAAGUUCUUAACAUGAAAAAAAAUGAACUAUGUUUUCCCAAAACUGUUCUUGGUUUCAAAAUUUGUCUUUAAGAUUCAAUUUUUUCUCGGUUUCAAAAUUUGUUCUUAAGAUUCAAAAAAUGUUUGUGCUUUAAAAAAUUGUUCGCGCUUCAAAUUUGUUAGGUUUAUUUCGAAAUUGUUCUCCUUUUCAAAAUUUUGUUCUCAAGACUAAAAAAAGUUCGUGCAUUAAAAAAAUUGUUCACACUUCCAAAUUUGAUUAGAUAUUUUCAAAAUAGUUCUCGGUUUCAAAAUUUCUUCUAAAGGUUCAAAAAAUGUUUCUAUUUUAAAAAAUUGUUCCUGCUUCCAAAUUUCUUCCAUGUUUUUUAAAAUUGUCCUCCAUUUCACAGUUUUGUCUUCCAGAUUCAAAAAAUGUGCAUGCUUUCAAAAAUUCUUUGCGCUUCCAAAUUUAUUCAGGAUUUUUCAAAAUUGUUCUCAAAAUUCAAAUAAUCGUCAUGCUUUAAAAAUUUGUACACGCUUCCAAAAUUUUACGGGGUUUUUCAAAAUUGUUCUCAAUUUGAAAAUUUUGUUCACAAGAUUCAAAAAAUGUUCGUGCUUUAAAAAAUUGCUAGUUCUUCCAAAUUUGUUCACGAUUUUCCAAAAUGGUUUUCAAUUUUAAAAUUUGUUCUCAAAAUUCAGAACAUUUUCUUGCUUUAAAAUUUGUUUGCGCAUUCAAAUUUGAUUGGGGUUUUUCAAAAUUAUUCUCCUUUUUAAAAUUUUAUUCACAAGAUUAAAUAAACGUAUUAGCAUUGUCCUUAUAUCUAUGAUAUUAGCCGCAGUGAAUGUCAAGAUCUGUCAUACCUUUGACAGCAGAAUCGGCACUUCAGGGAAAUCACAGUUUUUUGACUAUCGGACCCUUCCCAAGUGAAUCUGACGAAAAAGGGUUCCCCCCGCGUUGUAUUACAAAACAACCAACAAGACCAUCCAUCGAUUGAUGCUGGGGCGGAAACAGCACAGACAUGCCCAAAACAAAUGAAAAAAAAACAAAAAAAAAAACAAAUGCCGACACCGACGGAUCGACAAAAAACACAAAAAGACUCGCGACCGCUGCGCCCACCAACAGUCUCACACCAAGCUCCAAGACUUGCCAAGUGAAUCUCCAAAGCGAAAAUAUUCCUUGGCAAGUAAAUGAGGAAUAACUGCAACCAUCAUAUGGUAUUUAAUAUCUACAUAAAAAAUAAAUAAAAGCUAGAUACAUUGCCACAAAGAUUACAAGUAAGGGGACAAUGUCAAGACAAAAUAUAAGUUUAAAGGAACAUACCUUUUUUCCAUUGAGCAGAAUAACCAGAGAAAAUAAAUAAAUCAAACUAUGUGUCUAUUUAACCAUUGAUAGUCGUCAUCAGAUGUUACUACCACAAACUUGUAAAUUGUAUCAAGAGUGUCUGUCUUGGUUGUUUACUGUGUCAGUCUUUCUGGAAACUGCCCUUUGCUUUCAGCAAAAAACUUUACAUCCCUGUUGAUGUGUAUCUGAUCACUCACUAGUUACUACCUUAGAAACCAGAUUUCUAUCUUGACAAGUGCUGAUACGGCAAGUUGGCACACAACUUGCAAACAACUUGCAAAAAAGGAGUAGGAAAAGACAUGCCAAGGACGCUGGUAGGCUUACGUAUCGGUUAAUCAUAAGCGCAUUUGGCAAUCGUAAUUAAACAAUAUUGUUGAUUCGUAAUCUUUAAAAGCAAAACUGAGCAACCACUAGGCGUGUAUAGUUUUUUGCCGGUUUUACUCAAUUAACCAUGCAUUGUAUCGGGUUUUCGUCCGGUUAUCCCAGAUUAACCAGGCAAUUCUAUUCUUCUUAAUGAAAUGCAGGAACCCCCUGUCCCUCUUAAGGUGUUCCAAAAAAAAUUCAGUGAGCUAGUACGUACUUGAUUAAUUCAUCCCUCUAGAGCACAAAAAUUAUGGCUUCGUCCUACAGCCUUUGAGCAUCGAACAAUUUUCAUAUCAGGACAAUGCAAGCUUGAUGUCUAGAGAAGUACUACAAUGUAAUAGAAAUACAUGGUAAACUCCUACACAAACCAAGAUGAAGCUUCUUCCUACUUCACUCCCUUUUCCACCAUGGUCAACUCCUUCCUCCUUUUCCACUACUUCUCCUCUCCCUUUGUCCUUCUUCUCUUUUUUCUUUCUUUUCCUCAUGGAGCAGCCGGCUCCCCUGCAAGCCAGCACAAGAGGUUCCCAUAGCCUGCAGGGCAGCUAGUUCAAGCCACCCGAUGACCAUGGUUAUACUAUUCACAUAUCAUUUCCAAUUUCUUCUAAUAUCUCACCUCACUAGAAAGCAG